UACGGAAGGUGCAAGCGUUAGUCGGAAUUACUGGGCGUAAAGGGUGCGUAGGCGGGAAAGUACGUCAGACGUGAAAUUCCGGGGCUCAACCCCGGAGCUGCGUUUGAAACGGCUUUUCUUGAGGACUAGCGGAGAGAAUGGAAUUCCAUGUGUAGCGGUGAAAUGCGUAGAUAUAUGGAAGAACACCAGUGGCGAAAGCGAUUCUCUAGCUUAAUCCUGACGCUAAGGCACGAGAGCAAGGGGAGCAAACAGG
rnacentral:rRNA from 1 species